rnacentral:misc_RNA from 1 species
UUCUGACCUGCUUUAACUGCCU